UCCAGACUCCUACGGGAGGCAGCAGUGAGGAAUAUUGGUCAAUGGCCGAGAGGCUGAACCAGCCAAGUCGCGUGAGGGAUGACGGCCCUACGGGUUGUAAACCUCUUUUGCCGGGGAGCAAAAAGCGGUACGUGUACCGCAUCGAGAGUACCCGGAGAAAAAGCAUCGGCUAACUCCGUGCCAGCAGCCGCGGUAAUACGGAGGAUGCGAGCGUUAUCCGGAUUUAUUGGGUUUAAAGGGUGCGUAGGCGGAAUGCCAAGUCAGCGGUAAAAGCGCGGGGCUCAACCUCGCGCCGCCGUUGAAACUGGCGUUCCUGAGUGGGCGAGAAGUAUGCGGAAUGCGUGGUGUAGCGGUGAAAUGCAUAGAUAUCACGCAGAACUCCGAUUGCGAAGGCAGCAUACCGGCGCCCAACUGACGCUGAAGCACGAAAGCGUGGGUAUCGAACAGGAUUAGAUACCCCCGUAU
rnacentral:rRNA from 1 species